GGUUUGUGGCUUAGUGGUAGAGCGUUCUUCUAGCACGUGCGAGGCCCUGGGUUCAAUCCUCAGCACUG
rnacentral:tRNA from 1 species